UACAGAGGUGGCAAGCGUUGUUCGGAAUUACUGGGCGUAAAGGGCGCGUAGGCGGCCUACUAAGUCAGACGUGAAAUCCCCCGGCUUAACCUGGGAACUGCGUCUGAUACUGGAAGGCUUGAGUAUGGGAGAGGGAUGUAGAAUUCCAGGUGUAGCGGUGAAAUGCGUAGAUAUCUGGAGGAACACCGGUGGCGAAGGCGGCAUCCUGGACCGGUAUUGACACUGAGGCGCGAAAGCCAGGGGAGCAAACGGG
rnacentral:rRNA from 1 species